ACUUGCAUACAAUUGGAACUGGGUUGUGUGGUUCUCUUGUUUAGGAACUGCUUUGCACUAAUCUCUUCCAUGCUGCUCUUUGAAAAUAAGGUUGAAAUAUUUCUUAACUCGAAAUCUUUCGUUGUGUCGAAUUGUGCUGUCUAGUGUCUUCACCACCUCAGGUUCUGAUUCGGAGAUGAUAGCCGGGCCAACUUUUUGUGGGAGGGGAUAAUCUCACGAAAGCCUCAUCAGGAAGGGAUCCGUGAAGCUCACCAUCCUUGGACUGUCGUGGAGUUCGUCGUCACAAGUCAAUUUGAUGAGCACAAUUCAACUACACCAUAUUGGGAGUGGAGGUUAGAUUGCACUUUGUUGGAGUUUUUGGAAGCUGUUCUGAGAUACCCACAGGACUGGUCGUUGGAUGAAGUGCUUGUGAAUUCACCGCAUGCCCUUUCGAACACCUUGGUUAUGCGACAUGAGUUUAGUGUGUUGUUUGCUUUUCCUUCCGCUUUUGUCCUGCUCCGCUCUAGGAUUGGUUGUUUUAAUUAAUGAGGGGAAAGCGAUAGGGCAGUGUUCUUGAUGCCUCUUUGAUCCGUCUCAUCAUCCUAAUUUUACAAACAACUGCUGGGAUCCCUUUUCAACGGCAGCUUGAAAUGAUCCUGCCGGGAGCUGUGAGGACUCGCCACGUCCUAUAUUUUUGUUUUCAUAUAUCAUGCUUUCAUUAACCAAAAGGUUUUAUUCAAUCCUUUAGCAUCUUUUUCGUCACUGUUUGGCAUGCUUUACUGCCCAAAUUCGUGGAUACAUCGAGACCAUGGAUACCUCUCUUCCGAUGUCUUUGAUAAUUACCAUUAACUCGUAACGGUUGUGCUUUCUGCGCGCUUGGACUUUGUUCUAUGCUGUUGAGCACCUGAUUCAACUGAUCGAUGCUAAAUUCACAAUGCUGUCUCUACUUCACCCUGAAGAGGAAGACGGUCUGGAAAGAGGCUUCUAUUCGACAACCUUCAGAAGAAAGCUGACUUGUUCUUCUUGAUUAGGAUCUCUGAUCACCAUCUCGGAGUAAGAAAUUGGAGCUCACCGCACUUUAGAGGUGGAACCAAAUCUUGGCUAGUGGCCAACCAUGUUACAACGGUUUGGGUGACAAAGUUGUGGAUGAAAGCAGAAGGUCAAUACUUUGUCUUGCUGUUAUUAAGAAACUGGCCUCAGGUUUGACACCUUGUAGUAAUUCAGUGUCUAGAGUGCGUUGGAUUAUGGGGUAAGGCUUCGAUCAUGCUGAGAUGGACGGGUUAGAAGUGUGAAACUUCACAGCCUAUGAUGGAAGUUUCAGAGAUUCAUGCAGGGAGAGUACUUUAUUCCAUGUGCUUGUUGUGUUUCUAUCCAGAUGACGUGUCCAAGGAUCCUUUCAAGCAAAAGUUUGGACCUUAUGACUAAAUAAGUGAAUGAACCCAUGUGAUUCUCUGUUGAGGGAAAAGGACGCCCUAUUUGAUCCAUUUCCCAGUGACUUGUGUACAUUCUUUUUU